AUAUAUAUAUAUAUAUAUAUAUACACAAUAUUGUUAAUGUAGAUUUUCUUGCUUUUGUUAAAACCACCUGUAGCUAUCUAUCUGUAACUGUAGCUUUUGUUGUUGCCUUUUGAUGAGAAAGUGUUAUAGACCAGUUAUUGACCCUCUACUGAUCUGUUAUUUACAAAUCUGGUAUUGACCAUCUCUCUUGUCAGGAACACUGAGAUCCAGGGAUAUGUUUGAGCCACCACGGCCUGUAAAACUAAUGCAAAUAUCUAAUUGUGUAAAAUAAAGUUCUGCUCUGUUUAAAAGAGUGGCAUCGUAGGUAUUGUAAAUAAUAUUGUUUAUGAUUAAUGUUGUAGGUUUCUUACAUUGAAGAUGUCAUUUCACAGACAUAAUAA